UCAGGAGCGUUUAUGAUGUCUUGUGUGUCUCUGUGUCUUCAAUAUUGUGAAGUUCAAACAUUCAAGUCACAGUUAGUGAAGCGUUCAGAGGUUUUUGUACAGCUGCUCGAUUUGUUUCUAUCACUGUGGUGGACGUUCGGCCCCGGCACGAGACUCGACGUCGGCAGUGUAACUCGUCCUAAAGUGAUCGUCCUGCCGCCGUCCAGUGAAGAGAUUUCCAGCAAGAAGACAGCAACAGUGAUGUGUGUGGCCAGCAAUGGUUUCCCUUCAGACUGGAGUCUGAGCUGGAAAGUGAAUGGGAAGAUGUCAGGAUCUCAGGAGAACAGAGCUGGAGUCCUACAGAAAGACGGCGGUCUGUACAGCUGGAGCAGCAGUCUGACUCUCACUGAACAAGAAUGGAUCAACAGAGACUCAGUGAUCUGUGAGAUCAGUCGGGAAGGUCAGACAGUCACUGGAGAAGUGAAGAAAGAUCUGUGUUCUGAGUAGAUCCUCUCUUCUUCUCAUCUCUUCUUCUCAUUCAUGUCUCACAUCAACAGUCUGUGUCUCUGCUUUAUUCAUUCUGUCUGCUUUAAUAAAUGUCAAUAAAAGAGAAGUAACAUUA